rnacentral:rRNA from 1 species
UACAGAGGUGGCAAGCGUUGUUCGGAAUUACUGGGCGUAAAGGGAGCGUAGGCGGCCUUGUCAGUCAGACGUGAAAUCCCCAGGCUUAACCUGGGAACUGCGUCUGAUACUACAAGGCUUGAGUGCGGGAGAGGGAUGUGGAAUUCCAGGUGUAGCGGUGAAAUGCGUAGAUAUCUGGAGGAACACCGGUGGCGAAGGCGGCAUCCUGGACCGACACUGACGCUGAGGCGCGAAAGCUAGGGGAGCAAACGGG